rnacentral:rRNA from 1 species
CACGCCGUAAACUAUGGACGCUAGCUGUAAGAAGUAUCGACCCUUCUUGUAGCGAAGCUAACGCGUUAAGCGUCCCGCCUGUGGAGUACGGUCGCAAGACUAAAACAUAAAGGAAUUGACGGGGACCCGCACAAGCGGUGGAGCGUGUUGUUUAAUUCGAUGGUAAGCGAAGAACCUUACCCAGGCUUGACAUCCUACUAAUUUCUCCGAAAGGAGAGAGUGCCUUCGGGCCGUAGAGACAGGUGU